GACGAACGCUGGCGGCGUGCCUCAAACAUGCAAGUCGAGCGAGGGUUGGUCGCGGGGCAACUCGCGAUCAACUCGAGCGGCGAACGGGUGAGUAACACGUGGGCAACCUGCCCCACAGACGGGGAUACCCUCGGGAAACCGGGGCUAAUACCCGGUACGCUCCUCGGGCGGCAUCGCCUGGGGAGGGAAGGUCGCAAGACGCUGUGGGAUGGGCCCGCGGCCUAUCAGCUAGUUGGUGGGGUAACGGCCCACCAAGGCGACGACGGGUAGCUGGCCUGAGAGGGUGGUCAGCCACACUGGGACUGAGACACGGCCCAGACUCCUACGGGAGGCAGCAGUUGGGAAUCUUGGGCAAUGGGCGCAAGCCUGACC
rnacentral:rRNA from 1 species